UGGGGAAUCUUGGACAAUGGGCGCAAGCCUGAUCCAGCCAUUCCGCGUGGAUGAUGAAGGCCUUAGGGUUGUAAAAUCCUUUCAGCGGGGAAGAUAAUGACUGUACCCGCAGAAGAAGCCCCGGCUAACUCCGUGCCAGCAGCCGCGGUAAUACGGAGGGGGCUAGCGUUGUUCGGAAUUACUGGGCGUAAAGCGCGCGUAGGCGGAUCAGCCAGUCAGAGGUGAAAGCCCAGGGCUCAACCCUGGAACUGCCUUUGAUACUGUUGAUCUGGAGUUCGGUAGAGGUGUGUGGAAUUCCGAGUGUAGAGGUGAAAUUCGUAGAUAUUCGGAGGAACACCAGAGGCGAAGGCGACACACUGGACCGAUACUGACGCUGAGGCGCGAAAGCGUGGGGAGCAAACAGGAUUAGAUACCCCCGUAGUCC
rnacentral:rRNA from 1 species